ensembl:rRNA 5S_rRNA 5S ribosomal RNA
GUCUACAGCCAUAACACCCUGAACACACCUGAUCUUGUCUGAUCUCACAAGCUAAGCAGGGAUUGGCCUGGUUAGUACUUAGAUGAGAGACUGCCUGGGAAUACUGGGUGUUGUAGGAU